UAUUCCUUAAGUAGACAAAGAUGAUUCUUUCCCAGUUUUGCCUGCUUAAGGGAUAGA
rnacentral:pre_miRNA from 1 species